rnacentral:rRNA from 1 species
AACGAACGCUGGCGGCAUGCCUUACACAUGCAAGUCGAACGGUAACAGGUCUUCGGAUGCUGACGAGUGGCGAACGGGUGAGUAAUACAUCGGAACGUGCCUAGUAGUGGGGGAUAACUACUCGAAAGAGUGGCUAAUACCGCAUGAGAUCUACGGAUGGAAGCAGGGGAUCGCAAGACCUUGUGCUACUAGAGCGGCCGAUGGCAGAUUAGGUAGUUGGUGGGAUAAAAGCUUACCAAGCCGACGAUCUGUAGCUGGUCUGAGAGGACGAUCAGCCACACUGGGACUGAGACACGGGCCAGACUCCUACGGGAGGCAGCAGUGGGGAAUUUUGGACAAUGGGCGCAAGCCUGAUUCAGCAAUGCCGCGUGCAGGAUGAAGGCCUUCGGGUUGUAAACUGCUUUUGUACGGAACGAAAAGCCCUGGGUUAAUACCCUGGGGUCAUGACGGUACCGUAAGAAUAAGCACCGGCUAACUACGUGCCAGCCGCCGCCGUAAUAC